AGUCCAUGAAAUGGGCAUAACCUCAAUAAAUCCUUGAAACACUCUCAAGCGUCAAACAAAGAUUCCCCCCACUCUUGCCUAAAAUUAUUUAUCUCACUCCUCACU